AGCUUUGCACAAUGGCAGUAUUGUAGCCAAUGAGGUUUAUCAGAGGCGUGAUUAUUGCUAAUUGAAAAAAAGAGAGAGAGAAAAGAGAAAAAAAAGUUUUAUCUUGAAGAUCAAGGUCAAAAUAACCAUC
rnacentral:snRNA from 1 species